AUCCGGAAUCAUUGGGCGUAAAGCGCCUGUAGGUUGUUUAAUAAGUCUGUUGUUAAAGACUAGGGCUUAACCCUAGAAAAGCAAUGGAAACUACUAGACUAGAGUAUGGCAGGGGUAGAGGGAAUUUCUAGUGUAGCGGUGAAAUGCGUAGAUAUUAGAAAGAACACCGGUGGCGAAAGCGCUCUACUGGACCAUUACUGACACUCAGAGGCGAAAGCUAGGGUAGCAAAAGGGAUUAGAUACCCCUGUAGUCCUAGCCGUAAACGAUGGAUACUAGAUGUUGUGCAUAAUGUACAGUAUCGUAGCUAACGCGUUAAGUAUCCCGCCUGGGGAGUACGCUCGCAAGGGUGAAACUCAAAGGAAUUGACGGGGGCCCGCACAAGCGGUGGAGCAUGUGGUUUAAUUCGAUGCAACGCGAAGAACCUUACCAGGGCUUGACAUACUACAGAUUCUUUUGAGAAAAAGAAGUGCCUUCGGGAAUGUAGAUACAGGUGGUGCAUGGCUGUCGUCAGCUCGUGUCGUGAGAUGUUGGGUUAAGUCCCGCAACGAGCGCAACCCUUAUUUUUAGUUACUAAUUCGUUAGGUUCUCUAGAAAGACUGCCGGUGACAAACCGGAGGAAGGUGAGGAUGACGUCAAGUCAGCAUGCCCCUUAUGUCCUGGGCUACACACGUGCUACAAUGGUUAAGACAAAGAGUCGCGAGCUCGCGAGAGUCAGCUAAUCUCAUAAACUUAGCCUAAGUUCAGAUUGUAGGCUGCAACU
rnacentral:rRNA from 1 species